AUUGAACGCUGGCGGCAUGCUUUACACAUGCAAGUCGAACGGUAACAGGCCUUCGGGUGCUGACGAGUGGCGAACGGGUGAGUAAUGCAUCGGAACGUGCCCAAUCGUGGGGGAUAACGUAGCGAAAGUUACGCUAAUACCGCAUAAGCCCUGAGGGGGAAAGCAGGGGAUCGCAAGACCUUGCGCGAAUGGAGCGGCCGAUGUCAGAUUAGCUAGUUGGUGGGGUAAAGGCCUACCAAGGCGACGAUCUGUAGCGGGUCUGAGAGGAUGAUCCGCCACACUGGGACUGAGACACGGCCCAGACUCCUACGGGAGGCAGCAGUGGGGAAUUUUGGACAAUGGGCGCAAGCCUGAUCCAGCCAUGCCGCGUGCGGGAC
rnacentral:rRNA from 1 species